rnacentral:lncRNA from 1 species
UCUGGCGAUCAAAACCCUAUUCAUGCCCAUUCAGAUUUUGAAAAAGAUAAAUGAACCACCUAACUGGAAACAAUGAAAAACUAUACCGAAGCCAAUAAAUAAAGGAUUGGAGUUCAGCAAAGAUUUCUCUCCUUCAGAAGUAGCUAGAAUCCUGGUUGGUCAAAAACAAUUUUGCACCCGAGAUGAAAGAAAAGUUUGCUGCCGACGGUCUUGACGGCAAGGAGCUUAUUGGAUUGUUUAAAGACGAAGCAGAAAUGAUGCAAUUUCUGCCUGUGUUUAAAGAAAGGAAACUUUUUAAGACUCUAAUAGGAAAUUUCUCGAUGACGACAAGGACAGCGAGCCUCCUAUCUCCACAAAUAACUCUCCAGCUAGUGACUCUCNCGCUCGAAUCACAGAAAAUAAUGUAGAAGAANCUCCACUCAUCUUCUGGUGGUUCUAGUAACAGUUUGGUCGUUACCCCUCAGUGGACACCUCCAAGCCGUGAGAGUGUAAAUAGAGAAAUAGAGGAGG